CUUCUCUCGCCGUCUAUUUCGAUUCGUGGGGAAGCGAUAGGGAGAAGGGAGUGAGUAGUCUUAAUUUAGAUCAUACAGGGUGCCACGGGAACCAAAGACUCUAAAGACAUACUGAAGAACAUGACUUGGAAGACAGUGGGUGGUGCUGCAACUAGUGAACCAGCUGGGACAAUCACAAAAAAGCGGCUUCCGAAGAAAAUAAGACCAAGUCCCUGACUACUAUUUUUCUUCCUUUGCGGUCAUUACCUUCUGCUAUUGCCAUCUAUAGUGCCAUCUGUGCUGCUGGAGUUGGCGCCGGGAUGCUAAUGGAGGUUUGGAUAAACAAAAAGAUCAAAGAGGAUGGUGGUGUCAUCUGGGAGAUGGACUGAAAGUGCUGAGUAGAUUUUCAGGUGCAGCUGGAG